rnacentral:rRNA from 15 species
GGCUAGGGGGUCAUCGCGACUUACCAAACCAUUGCAAACUCCGAAUACCGAUGAGUGCGAGCUUGGGAGACAGACGUCGGGUGCUAACGUCCGGCGUCAAGAGGGAAACAACCCAGACCGCCAGCUAAGGUCCCUAAAAUUGGCUAAGUGGGAAACGAAGUGGGAAGGCUAAAACAGUCAGGAUGUUGGCUUAGAAGCAGCCAUCAUUUAAAGAAAGCGUAAUAGCUCACUGAUCGAGUCGUCCUGCGCGGAAGAUGUAACGGGGCUAAAACCAUACACCGAAGCUACGGGUAUCACCUUCGGGUGAUGCGGUAGAGGAGCGUUCUGUAAGCCUGUGAAGGUGAGUUGAGAAGCUUGCUGGAGGUAUCAGAAGUGCGAAUGCUGACGUGAGUAACGACAAUGCGAGUGAAAAACUCGCACGCUGAAAGACCAAGGGUUCCAGUCCAACGUUAAUCGGGGCUGGGUGAGUCGACCCCUAAGGCGAGGCCGAGAGGCGUAGUCGAUGGGAAAUUGGUUAAUAUUCCAAUACUUCUGUGUAAUGCGAUGAGAGGACGGAGAAGGUUAAGUCAGCCUGGCGUUGGUUGUCCAGGUGAAAGGUUGUAGGCAUGCAUCUUAGGCAAAUCCGGGGUACUCUAUGCUGAGAACUGAUAGCAAGCUGCACUUGUGCAGUGAAGUGGCUGAUACCAUACUUCCAGGAAAAGUCUCUAAGCUUCAGUUACACAGGAAUCGUACCCGAAACCGACACAGGUGGUCAGGUCGAGUAGACCAAAGCGCUUGAGAGAACUCUGCUGAAGGAACUAGGCAAAAUGGUACCGUAACUUCGGGAGAAGGUACGCUGUCG